rnacentral:lncRNA from 1 species
GCCACGGACCGCAGGAGGCCCAGCAAGGUGUGGGAGAGCUCCAGGGCACAGCACUGCUGCAGGUGCUCCCGAUGAAGCUGAACGCCCGGAGAGCCCUGGAGCGGCCUGGGGCUCUGCCUGGAGGCCCCCGUGCCCCCCGGGGGGGUGCUGAGCGCCGAGGGACCCUUCCCGAGCCGGGGCAGGGGCCCGCGGCCCCAGGUACGGCCCCGCGGCUCCGGGGGGCUGUGGCGCAGCCCGGGGGCCCCUGGCCCUGCUCGGCCCCG